rnacentral:rRNA from 1 species
UACGUAGGUGGCAAGCGUUGUCCGGAUUUACUGGGUGUAAAGGGCGUGUAGCCGGGCUGACAAGUCAGAUGUGAAAUCCGGGGGCUCAACCCCCGAACUGCAUUCGAAACUGUUGGUCUUGAGUAUCGGAGAGGCAGGCGGAAUUCCUAGUGUAGCGGUGAAAUGCGUAGAUAUUAGGAGGAACACCAGUGGCGAAGGCGGCCUGCUGGACGACAACUGACGGUGAGGCGCGAAAGCGUGGGGAGCAAACAGG